GUUGUAUGGUUAAGUGACUAAGCGUACACGGUGGAUGCCUGGGCAGUCAGAGGCGAUGAAGGACGUACUAACUUGCGAUAAGCGCAGAUAAGGCAGUAAGAGCCGUUUGAGUCUGCGAUUUCCGAAUGGGGAAACCCAACUGCAUAAGCAGUUACUGUUAACUGAAUACAUAGGUUAACAGAGCAAACCGGGGGAACUGAAACAUCUAAGUACCCCGAGGAGAAGAAAUCAACCGAGAUUCCGGUAGUAGCGGCGAGCGAACCUGGAUUAGCCCUUAAGCGCUCGGUGAAGUAGGUGAACAAGCUGGAAAGCUUGGCGAUACAGGGUGAUAGCCCCGUAACCGACGCUUCAUCGAGCGUGAAAUCGAGUAGGGCGGGACACGUGAUAUCCUGUCUGAAUAUGGGGGGACCAUCCUCCAAGGCUAAAUACUCCUGACUGACCGAUAGUGAACCAGUACCGUGAGGGAAAGGCGAAAAGAACCCCUGUGAGGGGAGUGAAAUAGAACCUGAAACCGUGUACGUACAAGCAGUAGGAGCACCUUCGUGGUGUGACUGCGUACCUUUUGUAUAAUGGGUCAGCGACUUAUAUUCAGUGGCAAGGUUAACCGUAUAGGGGAGCCGUAGCGAAAGCGAGUCUUAACUGGGCGCUCAGUCUCUGGAUAUAGACCCGAAACCGGGUGAUCUAGCCAUGGGCAGGUUGAAGGUUGAGUAACAUCAACUGGAGGACCGAACCGACUAAUGUUGAAAAAUUAGCGGAUGACUUGUGGCUAGGGGUGAAAGGCCAAUCAAACUCGGAGAUAGCUGGUUCUCCCCGAAAGCUAUUUAGGUAGCGCCUCGGACGAAUACUACUGGGGGUAGAGCACUGUUAAGGCUAGGGGGUCAUCCCGACUUACCAACCCUUUGCAAACUCCGAAUACCAGUAAGUACUAUCCGGGAGACACACGGCGGGUGCUAACGUCCGUCGUGGAGAGGGAAACAACCCAGACCGCCAGCUAAGGUCCCAAAGUAUUGCUAAGUGGGAAACGAUGUGGGAAGGCUCAGACAGCUAGGAUGUUGGCUUAGAAGCAGCCAUCAUUUAAAGAAAGCGUAAUAGCUCACUAGUCGAGUCGGCCUGCGCGGAAGAUGUAACGGGGCUAAGCAAUACACCGAAGCUGCGGCAAUAUCUUUUAGAUAUUGGGUAGGGGAGCGUUCUGUAAGCCGUUGAAGGUGAAUCGUAAGGUUUGCUGGAGGUAUCAGAAGUGCGAAUGCUGACAUGAGUAACGACAAAGGGGGUGAAAAACCUCCUCGCCGGAAGACCAAGGGUUCCUGUCCAACGUUAAUCGGGGCAGGGUGAGUCGACCCCUAAGGUGAGGCCGAAAGGCGUAAUCGAUGGGAAACGGGUUAAUAUUCCCGUACUUCUGACUAUUGCGAUGGGGGGACGGAGAAGGCUAGGUGGGCCAGGCGACGGUUGUCCUGGUUCAAGUGCGUAGGCUUGAGAGUUAGGUAAAUCCGGCUCUCUCUAAGGCUGAGACACGACGUCGAGCUGCUACGGCAGUGAAGUCAUUGAUGCCAUGCUUCCAGGAAAAGCCUCUAAGCUUCAGAUAGUCAGGAAUCGUACCCCAAACCGACACAGGUGGUCGGGUAGAGAAUACCAAGGCGCUUGAGAGAACUCGGGUGAAGGAACUAGGCAAAAUGGUACCGUAACUUCGGGAGAAGGUACGCUCUUGAUGGUGAAGUCCCUCGCGGAUGGAGCUGACGAGAGUCGCAGAUACCAGGUGGCUGCAACUGUUUAUUAAAAACACAGCACUGUGCAAAAUCGCAAGAUGACGUAUACGGUGUGACGCCUGCCCGGUGCCGGAAGGUUAAUUGAUGGGGUUAGCGCAAGCGAAGCUCUUGAUCGAAGCCCCGGUAAACGGCGGCCGUAACUAUAACGGUCCUAAGGUAGCGAAAUUCCUUGUCGGGUAAGUUCCGACCUGCACGAAUGGCGUAAUGAUGGCCACGCUGUCUCCACCCGAGACUCAGUGAAAUUGAAAUCGCUGUGAAGAUGCAGUGUACCCGCGGCUAGACGGAAAGACCCCGUGAACCUUUACUACAGCUUGGCACUGAACAUUGAACCUACAUGUGUAGGAUAGGUGGGAGGCUAUGAAGACGUGACGC
rnacentral:rRNA from 1 species